rnacentral:rRNA from 1 species
UGGCUCAGGACGAACGCUGGCGGCGUGCUUAACACAUGCAAGUCGAACGGGGAUUAGUUGAUUGAGAGCUUCGGCAGGAUAUCGAUUAAUUCGAGUGGCGGACGGGUGAGUAACGCGUGAGCAACCUGUCCCAGACAGGGGGAUAACACUUGGAAACAGGUGCUAAUACCGCAUAAGGCCACGGGAUCACAUGGUUCUGGGGUAAAAGGAGCAAUCCGGUUUGGGGUGGGCUCGCGUCCGAUUAGCCAGUUGGCGGGGUAACGGCCCACCAAAGCGACGAUCGGUAGCCGACCUGAGAGGGUGAACGGCCACAUUGGAACUGAGAGACGGUCCAAACUCCUACGGGAGGCAGCAGUGGGGAAUAUUGGGCAAUGGGCGAAAGCCUGACCCAGCAACGCCGCGUGAGUGAAGAAGGCCUUCGGGUUGUAAAGCUCUGUUAUAGUUGACGAAGGAAGUGACGGUAGGCUAUAAGGAAGCCCCGGCUAACUACGUGCCAGCCGCCGC